AUUGAACGCUGGCGGCAUGCCUAACACAUGCAAGUCGAACGGCAGCGCGGGGCAACCUGGCGGCGAGCGGUGGACGGGGGCGUAAUAGUUAGGAAUGUACCCAGAACUGGGGGAUAACGUAGCAAAAGGUACGCUAAUACCGCAUACGUUCUACGGUAGCAAACGGGGGACCUCAGGGCCUCAUGCUUUUGUUGCGGCCGAUGUCUGAUUAGCUAGUUGGUGAGGUAAAGGCUCACCAAGGCGACGAUCAGUAGCUGGUCUGAGAGGACGAUCAGCCACACUGGAACUGAGACACGGCCCAGACUCCUACGGGAGGCAGCAGUGGGGAAUUUUGGACAAUGGGCGCAAGCCUGAUCCAGCAAUGCCGCGUGAGUGAAGAAGGCCUUCGGGUUGUAAAGCUCUUUUGUUAGGGAAGAAAAGGAGGAGGAUAAUACCUUCGUGUAAUGACGGUACCUAAAGAAUAAGCACCGGCUAACUACGUG
rnacentral:rRNA from 1 species